GACGAACGCUGGCGGCGUGCUUAACACAUGCAAGUCGAACGAAGUGGCGAACGGGUGAGUAACGCGUAAUCAACCUGCCCUUCAGAGGGGGACAACAGUUGGAAACGACUGCUAAUACCGCAUACUGAAGGAGGGGAUUGCGUCUGAGGAGCGCGUUGGGGGGGGAACGGCCCACCAAGGCGAUGAUCAGUAGGCGGGCCGAUAGGAGGAACGACCACAUUGGGACUGAGACACGGCCCAGACUCCUACGGGGGGCAGCCGGGGGGAAUCUUCCGCAAUGGACGAAAGUCUGACGGAGCCACGCCGCGUGAGUGAUGACGGCCUUCGGGUUUUAAAGCUCUGUUAAUCGGGGCGCGGUACCGGAAUAGAAAGCAACGGCUAACUACGUGCCAGCAGCCGCGGUAAUAC
rnacentral:rRNA from 1 species